rnacentral:rRNA from 1 species
AUAGCGAGGAAAGAACCCAACAGGGAUUGCCCUAGUAACGGCGAGUGAAGCGGCAACAGCUCAAAUUUGAAAUCUGGCCUUAGGGUCCGAGUUGUAAUUUGUAGAGGAUGCUUUUGGUGCGGUACCUUCCGAGUUCCCUGGAACGGGACGCCAUAGAGGGUGAGAGCCCCGUACGGUUGGAUACCUAGCCUCUGUAAAGCUCCUUCGACGAGUCGAGUAGUUUGGGAAUGCUGCUCUAAAUGGGAGGUAAAUUUCUUCUAAAGCUAAAUACCGGCCAGAGACCGAUAGCGCACAAGUAGAGUGAUCGAAAGAUGAAAAGCACUUUGAAAAGAGGGUUAAAUAGCACGUGAAAUUGUUGAAAGGGAAGCGCUUAUGACCAGACUUUUGUCCGGCGGAUCAUCCGGUGUUCUCACCGGUGCACUUCGCCGGGCUGAGGCCAGCAUCGAUUUCUGUAGGGGGAUAAAGACUUCAGGAAAGUAGCUCCCUUCGGGGAGUGUUAUAGCCCGUUGUGUAAUACCCCUAUAGGGAUCGAGGUUCGCGCAUCUGCAAGGAUGCUGGCAUAAUGGUCAUCAGCGACCCGUCUUGAAACACGGACCAAGGAGUCGAACAUUUAUGCGAGUGUUUGGGUGUUAAACCCUCACGCGUAAUGAAAGUGAACGGAGGUGAGAGCCCUUACGGGUGCAUCAUCGACCGAUCCUGAUGUCUUCGGAUGGAUUUGAGUAAGAGCAUAACUGUUCGGACCCGAAAGAUGGUGAACUAUGCGUGGAUAGGGUGAAGCCAGAGGAAACUCUGGUGGAGGCUCGCAGCGGUUCUGACGUGCAAAUCGAUCGUCAAAUCUGCGCAUGGGGGCGAAAGACUAAUCGAA